CAUACCAAUUUUCCCAAAACUUCAUGCUUUCUUUUUGCCCUAACCUCAUUAUGUUUCCAACCAACCACAUCCUUGUUAGAUCCGUCCUUUGGGUCCCAUGUAUUUUCUUCUUACACUGCUCUCUUUUGCUGUAAAAAAUCACACCAUUUUUUCUCUAAGAUUUGCAGACACAUAUAGCGAGUGUUUUGGGGUGAGAAAGACACGUUUUUCUAGACAUUGAGAGGAGUGAGUGACAGAGGGACUCGCUUUUGUGGGGCUGAAGGCUCAGAUUUUCUCUCUUGAGGUGAUAUUGUUCCAAUUACAUUUCAAGUUGUGAACCCAAGGCACUUUAGCGUAUACUAUAGUCCAUUGGCACUCCUCCAAUGAUACUUCUUAUUUAACAAACAUUAUUGAGUAGUAUGCAUUAUGAAACCAGCUUUGGCAUGCUUUAAACAUGGAUGUUGUUAUAAAUACAUGGGAACCUAAAGAUUUAUUUUUUAUCCCUAUGUUUACAUAUUACACUUGUAUGUACCAUUUUCCUAUAUUAUUUGGACACUCAAUGUACUUGAUACUGUAAGUUUCACAUGUCCAUCAUAAUAUUAGAACAUAAGUGAGCCUUGGUUACUUCAUUCCUUAACAUUAGGUAAUUCCUUUCUCAACGUUACACAAUUCGUUUGGCAAGAAUAUCACCAAUAAGUGGCAUUGCAUGGGGUACAUCCAUAAAACAUACUCAAUUGCGCAUAGAACUGACCAAGCUAUUAGGUACUACCUUAGCACAUCAUGUUUUAUUUUGGUGAUCAGUUGGUUAACCUUUUUCUACUAUUGAGUGAACCUUAUGUACUAGUUGAAUCUACCUUCGGCACUACCUUAAUCGACCUUAGGUACUGCCUUAGUCAACAUUAGGUACUAUCUUAGCACACCUUGUGUACUACUUGUGUGACGACUCAAAACUGCAUUUAUGAACAUUAAGAUACUUCAUUCGUGAAUAUUAGUUCUCUUAGUUUUCAACCCAAGGAAGCCGGUUUGUCAAGUAUAGGACCCACAAGCUGCUUUCAAUCCAUGCAUAACUUAGAACGUAUUCGCUUCCACAUACAACUGAUCAUGGCAUUAUGUAUUUCAUUACUGUGCUCGGUUGGUUCCCUUUUCAUAUACUAGUGAAUGUACCUUAGGUACUACCUUAAUUAAACUUAGGUACAACCUUAGUAAUCCUUAGGUACUACCAUAGUGAUCCUUAGGUACCGUAGUUGCACUUGCAUACUACCUGUGUAUAGCAUCCAAUGUUCAUGUCUGAACCUUAAUUAGGUAGUUCUUUAUUGGAAGCUUCGACAAUCCGUAUGUCAACCUUAUAUAUUUCCUACAUAAAAGAAAAUGCAAUCAACAUACAUAAUUCCUCAAUCUUUCGUUGUUGUAUUGUUUGUAACAAAUCCUUAUGUGAUUAAGGAAAUGGAAGAGGACAUGUUUUGUUACAUUCAUGAAGGCAGUGAGCUUACUAAGAGUGUUGUUGGGUCCGUCAAAUAUAAAGGUGGUACCACCAAUUGCAUUGUUGUUAGCAAAAAUAUCUCACAUUCUGAAUUUGUUUCAAAAGUUUGUGGUGAACUCAACUUGGAGCCCAAUUCAAUUAAAUUAGAAUUCACAGUGAAGUUUAACCCAUCAUGUCUACUCCUAUUGCAUGAUGAUACAUACAUACUCAAGAUUUUCAAAUUCAACAACAUGUUUUGUCGUGCCUAUGUCUCCCAAUGUACUGAAGUUAGUGAUGGCUUAAUUGCCCCUACUAGGUACAUAUUGCUUUCUUACCAUCAUAUUCUCUUUCUAUAAUCAUUUUUCGCACAUAAGUAGAUGGAUGAGCAAUUUGUCUUCGUGUUUUUUUCGCAGUGCCCCAACAUCUAUUGUUGCUUCCAAUUCGACACAAGUUUCCUCCAAUGGCGAGCAGCCAAUGCAUAUGUCUACAAUAGAGUCAUUUGGGUUUUCCCAAAGAUGUGCUGAAACAAAUAUUCUUCAACUUUAGCUAAGCCGAGUCCAACAUUCAAUUAUGGGUAGUGGAUAUACCUUCCCAAAUGCCUCGGAUUUUCGAGAUGCAAUCUAUUUGAUUUCUUUAGCUGGUAGAUUCUGAUAUUCUUAUAAAAGGAAUAGUUCAAAACACAUGAUCGUAGUAUGCACAAUUCAAGAAUGUCCUUGGAAAAUCACAACUUGUGCAAUAAGGGAUUCCAACAUUGUUCAAGUUCACACAUUUCAAAAUGUGCACACCAUUGUUUGGAAGAUGUUGCCUUGUAUCAACCUUUAGUGAGAUCUACUCACGCCUCUUUGGUCAUUGACGAUGUCAUUCGGUCUACUCCCGAAUACCAACCAUGGAAAAUUUGCAAGAACUUUGUAAGGCAACAUGGCUUCCAGCUGACUUACCUUCAAGCAUGGCAAAUGAAGGAAAAGGCCAAGGAACACAUUUAUGGACAACCUAAAAAUUAUUACAAAUUGUUGCCAUGGAUGUGUAAGAGAAUGGUUGCAACAAAUCCAAGAUCGAUCGUUGAGUUGAGUUAUACCGAUGAUGGCCAUUUUGAGCAGCUUUUUGUUGCUCAUUCAACAUCUAUCCAAAUGUUUCUAAUGGGGAGUCGGCCAAUCAUUGCAAUUGAUUUGGCCCAUAUGAGUGAUUUUCAGCCACUGCUUAUGAUGCUAAUGAUUCGAUGUUCCCCUUAGCCUUUGGAGUGAUGAGCUCGAAAAAUUAUGAAGAUUAGUUGUGGUUUUUGGAAAAAUUGAAGAAAGAUGUCAGAAACAAAAAAGUUGUUAUUAUCUCAAAUAGAAAUUAUGUUUUCCUUUAUAGUGUUCCUGAUGUGUUUGGCCUUGAAAACCAUGCCUAUUGUUACCGUCACUUGAGAGAGAAUUAUAGUAGUUUCUUGUCCAAGCAUAACACAAAAGGGAAAAAGGGUAAAUAAAAUGCACAUCAAUUCCUAGAUAGUAUUGCAUAUGCAAGGUUAGAACAUGAUUAUAACGUUUCCAUGUUUGAACUUAAAAAAUAAAAUGAUGCUUUAGCCACAUGGGUUGAAGAAAAUGUACUUCACACCAUUGGGCCAUGUCAAAAUUUCCAAAAAACAAAAUGGGAUAAGAUGACCACCAACCUUGCCGAGUCAUUUAAUGCUUAGUUAAGGAAUGAAAGACAUCACUCCAUUUGUAACUUUUUAUUGGAGCAUAUGUCCAAGUUAGGUUCUAUGUUUGUGAAGCAUAAAUAAGAGUCCAAUAAUUGGAAAGGGUCUAUAGGCCCAAAAAUUGAAGAUAAGGUGUUGCAAAAUAUUGCAAAGGGUGAGGUGUAUCUGGUGACUUCAUUCAUGAACGACAUAUUUGGGGUAUGUAUUGGGAGGACCUUAUUGAAUGUAGACAUUAUGAACCGUACAUGCACAUGUAGGGGUUGGGAAAUGUUAGGAAUCCCUUAUGAACAUGUAGCAGCCGUCAUUCUUUCCAUUGUACAAAACGUUGCUGAUUUUGUUGAUGAUUGCUAUAAAUACCUAAUGAAAGAGUUGAUCUAUGCGAGUUCCUUCUCCGGCAUAGAGACCCAUGACAUGCCAUCUGUGGAUGAUGAUGGUUUGGUUCAAUAUAUCAAUGGUGAGGUUUUCUUCUCUCUAAACCCUUUGCAUACAAAACGCCCUCCUAAAAUACCAAAAAAGAAGCGCACUAAGUCUCAAUUUCAAAAUAAACGGAUGGUCUAUUGCUCUCGAUGUCAUAUGUCCAACCACAACAGAAAAACAUGAAAGAAUCAUUUGACCUAAGUGCAUAACUGUCACCUUAUUCCAUUGUUGAGAGCUUCUACAACUGUAUUGUCAUUACUUAAUUGAAUUGGUUCCCAUUGCUCAACUGUUACUAUGUCAAUGUUCUGUACUUUUUCUGUCACUUGCUAUGUUCUACAUGUAAUUUUCAAAGUUGGGUUAAACUGUUUCUAGAAUUAUGACAACUAUGUAAACUCUUAUGGGGUCUGUUCCACAAAUCUAGUUCCUCUAUUCUACAUAUAUCCAUAACACAUUAAGGUACUAAUGCAGUCCAUCAUUGACUGUUGUCUUCCUGUCCAAAAAAAUACUAAAAUGGGGCCACAACUCAUCUAUUUCACUCGGCCACCAACCCUCUUAUCUAUUACCAUACAUAUGAGUCAUCUGUCCAGAUCAUUGCUUGACAUACAAGACCCUGCCUAACCACCAAUGAACCAACAUUCAUGCUUCACAUGUCCAGCAAUUGUAAACCUGGAUGAAGAACGGGGAAUCCAUUUUUACAACAAAACAUAUGCAGUUUCAAAAACACCACACUCCCUUGCAUCAAAUAUAGGCUUCAGGGAAUUAGAAUUCAUUACCAAACUAAAGUCAGUUAUUAUAUAUGUUGUGUUCCCUGAUUGGGCCAAAUUUUUUUGCCAGGGUUUUCCUUAAAUAUUGAUGUACUAUUCAAUUGGGAUUUUAUUUCAAGUUGUUGAUAACCAAAUAGGUUACAUAAGUUAAAAUGAAGUCCCUACAUAUACUCUUAACUGAACGUAUGGUUUCUUACUGUCAUAUAUUUAUGCAUUGUUACAUUGUCAUUAUUAAAAUGACUUUCACAUCAGGAAUCUCCUGGUUUUGCAUCCUUUAAAUUGUAACUACCCUGUUCUAUGUAAUGACAAUAUGUUUCGUUCCCAUGUUAUUAUUUAAAUGUAUAAAUUAGCCAAUAUGUGGUGGCGGUUCCACUCUCAUAACAAUGCACUCUCAUCUUUAUUCUAACUUCCGCAAUGGUAUGAUGAGUAAUUUGUACAUUAAUUUUGUCUUUCUAGGUGCUUCUGAUGUCACAUGUACACUAAUAUUUGGGCUCUACGCCAUUGUGUGGAGGAAGAGAUUAACUUAUAGGGUGUCGAAACUUCCCAUCCCAUUUUCAACAUCAUAACAAAAGGUUACCUCAAUCCAGACAUGGCCACCGUACGCCAUAAAAGGAAAGACCAUGUUCCAACCACAUGUACCCAGACUCAAGAGCAACCAGAAAGCACAAUCCACUUUCAUGUACCAUCAAUAGCUUCGACAUCCUCAGCUUGUGAUGAUGCUACCGAGGUACUUUAAGCAUGUGUCAUAGAGACACCAGAGAAUAUGCUGAGAUUGGCUUCGUCAUUAGCACGGGAUGUUGCUGCAUUACGUUCCCGGUGUUUUGGAUCUCACGACACUUGCUUAAUCUCUUGCCCACACCCAUCGCAGCAAGUUGAAGAACAAACAGGGUGUGAUAUACCGGACAUUCAGCCUUCUACUGAAGAAUUGGUAGAACAACACAACUUCUUGCCAAGCCCACGAUUGUAAGUUGAAAUGGAAGCAUCAGUAGCAAUCCCUGCUUCCCAACCAGUGCCCUUGUAGUCUCAUGCAAAGUCCCCUAUUCAACCGGAAUUGGGAGUAGAAGAAGCGGUGGAAAAUGAUGGAGUAGGUGCUAGUGGCAGCCAAUCAGUCAGACCUUCAUCUAUGCGAAGAUAUAAACGGAUUGCUAAGAGGAUUGUCAAGCGUCCUCCCAUUUGCAAAUCUUUGUUUUUCAUGCAAUGCCUAAAAUAGUUCCCUAAAAUCCCACAUUAAGAUAUGGUUGUAGCUGAUUAUGCAUUGGCAGAAGAUGGUGAUCCCAGGUACAUUACUUUGUAUUUGUCAAUAAUUGUUAUAGUGAUAUACUAUGUGAAGAACUUUAAAUCAGUUUCACAUAUCCUUUUCUGACAUUGUAGUGGGGUUGUAUGCGACAUGCAUGGAAUGUACAUAACAAGGGAAGAACUGUCUUGUUUAAAUGCAGGUCGGUGGGUUAAUUCUGUGGUAUGACUGUGGUAUCCUCUCCCUAAAGUACAUGGAAUUUUGGAACUGGGC